rnacentral:rRNA from 1 species
UACGUAGGGGGCAAGCGUUGUCCGGAUUUAUUGGGCGUAAAGAGCGUGUAGGCGGCCGUACAGGUCAGCUGUGAAAAAUCGAGGCUCAACCUCGAGACGUCGGUUGAAACCGUACGGCUAGAGUCCGGAAGAGGAGAGUGGAAUUCCCGGUGUAGCGGUGAAAUGCGCAGAUAUCGGGAAGAACACCCGUGGCGAAGGCGGCUCUCUGGGACGGUACUGACGCUGAGGCGCGAAAGCGUGGGGAGCGAACAGG